CUUUAGAGUAGUCCAAUUUUUUUUUUUUUUUCAUUAAUGGAUAUUUUAGCUGUGUGUUUUGGGUCAUUAUCCUGUUGGAGAACCUAUGACCUGUGACUGAGACCAAGCUUUCUGACACUAGGCAGCACAUUUCCCUCCAGAAUGCCUUG